rnacentral:rRNA from 1 species
GACGAACGCUGGCGGCGUGCUUAACACAUGCAAGUCGUACGGUAAGGCCCUUUCGGGGGUACACGAGUGGCGAACGGGUGAGUAACACGUGAGUAACCUGCCCACAACUUUGGGAUAACGCUAGGAAACUGGUGCUAAUACUGGAUAUGUGCUCCUGCUGCAUGGUGGGGGUUGGAAAGCUCCGGCGGUUGUGGAUGGACUAGCGGCCUAUCAGCUUGUUGGUGGGGUAGUGGCCUACCAAGGCGGCGACGGGUAGCCGGCCUGAGAGGGUGACCGGCCACAUUGGGACUGGGAUACGGCCCAGACUCCUACGGGAGGCAGCAGUGGGGAAUAUUGCACAAUGGGCGCAAGCCUGAUGCAGCAACGCCGCGUGCGGGAUGACGGCCUUCGGGUUGUAAACCGCUUUCAGCAGGGACGAAGCUUUUUGUGACGGUACCUGCAGAAGAAGCACCGGCUAACUACGUG